rnacentral:rRNA from 1 species
UGGGGAAUUUUGCGCAAUGGGGGCAACCCUGACGCAGCAACGCCGCGUGCGGGACGACGGCCUUCGGGUUGUAAACCGCUUUCAGCAGGGAAGAACCUCUGACGGUACCUGCAGAAGAAGCCCCGGCUAACUACGUGCCAGCAGCCGCGGUAAUACGUAGGGGGCGAGCGUUAUCCGGAAUGAUUGGGCGUAAAGCGCGCGCAGGCGGCCGCUCAAGCGGGACCUCUAACCCCGGGGCUCAACCCCGGGCCGGGUCCCGAACUGGGCGGCUCGAGUGCGGUAGGGGAGAGCGGAAUUCCAAGUGUAGCGGUGAAAUGCGCAGAUAUUUGGAAGAACACCGAUGGCGAAGGCAGCUCUCUGGGCCGUCACUGACGCUGAGGCGCGAAAGCCGGGGGAGCGAACAGGA